AUUGGUGUUUGGCCUUUUAGGUAAAAUGAAGUGUAGUAUCUGUUCUCAUCAGUUUAAUAUCUGAUACAUCCUCUAUCAGAGGACAAGCUCUUAAAUGGAGCUUUGGAGCUGCAAGAUGGAAUAGGAGCUUGUUCUAUCCAUUCCACAUAUCAACCUGGUAUUGCAAUAUCUCCAGGAGCAGUGUACCCCUA
rnacentral:snRNA from 1 species